AUCAUCUAAGACAUGACUUUGCUCCUCCUUUACCUUCUGCCAUGAUUGUGCGGCCUCCCCAGCCAUGUGGAACUUUUAUGGACUGCCCUGAAUUCUUUCCUGUGCAAGAUCCAUGAGCUUUCUUUUGGAGUCUGGAUCUGGGCCCUGUCAGGCCUCUGAGCCCAAGCCAAGCCAUCGCAUCCCGUGACUUGCACGUAUAUACGCCCAGAUGGCCUGAAGUAACUGAAGAAUCACAAAAGAAGUGAAUAUGCCCUGCCUCACCUUAACUGAUGACAUUCCACCACAAAAGAAGUGUAAAUGGCCGGUCCUUGCCUUAACUGAUGACAUUACCUUGUGAAAGUCCUUUUCCUGGCUCAUCCUGGCUCAAAAAGCACCCCCACUGAGCACCUUGCGACCCCGCACUCCUGCCCGCCAGAGAACAAACCCCCUUUGACUGUAAUUUUCCUUUACCUACCCAAAUCCUAUAAAACGGCCCCACCCUUAUCUCCUUUCACUGACUCUCUUUUCAGACUCAGCCCGCCUGCACCCAGGUUAAAUAAACAGCCAUGUUGCUCACGCAAAGCCUGUUUGGUGGUCUCUUCACACGGACGCGCAUGAAAUUUGGU
rnacentral:lncRNA from 1 species